rnacentral:rRNA from 1 species
CAGCUAAGAAUAUUCCGCAAGGACGAAAGUCUGACGGAGCGACGCCGCGUGGAUGAAGAAGGCCGAAAGGUUGUAAAGUCCUUUUGCUGGGGAAGAAUAAUGUCAGGAGGGAAUGCCUGGCAGAUGACAUGAACCGGCGAAUAAGCCCCGGCUAACUACGUGCCAGCAGCCGCGGUAACACGUAGGGGGCGAGCGUUGUUCGGAAUUACUGGGCGUAAAGGGCAUGUAGGCGGCCUUGUAAGCCUGGCGUGAAAUUCCACGGCUUAACCGUGGGAAUGCGUUGGGAACUGCGAGGCUUGAGUGACGGAGAGGGAGCUAGAAUUCCUGGUGUAGGGGUGGAAUCUGUAGAGAUCAGGAAGAAUACCAAUGGCGAAGGCAAGCUCCUGGCCGAUGACUGACGCUGAGGUGCGAAAGUGUGGGGAUCAAACAGGAUUAGAUACCCUGGUAGUCCACACUGUAAACGAUGUGCACUAGGUGCUGGGGCGGAUGCUUCAGUGCCGAGCUAAC